rnacentral:rRNA from 1 species
GACGGAGGGGGCAAGCGUUGUCCGGACUCACUGGGCGUAAAGCGUACGUAGGCGGACGAGUGCGUCGCUGCUCAAAGCGCCAGGCUUAACCUGGCGAGGCGUGGCGAUACGACUCAUCUCGAGGCAGGCAGAGGAUGGCGGAAUUCCGGGUGUAGUGGUGAAAUGCGUAGAUAUCCGGAGGAACGCCUGUGGCGCAAGCGGCCAUCUGGGCCUGACCUGACGCUGAGGUACGAAAGCGUGGGGAGCAAACCGG